rnacentral:rRNA from 1 species
AACUCAAAGGAAUUGACGGGGGCUCACACAAGCGGUGGAGCAUGUGGAUCAAUUCGAAGCAACGCGAAGAACCUUACCUGGGUUUGACAUGCACGGAUGGUCUCGGUGAAAGCUGAGUAAUCUGCCUUCGGGUGAAACGUGCACAGGUGCUGCAUGGCUGUCGUCAGCUCGUGCUGUGAAGUGUCGGGUUAAGUCCCUUAACGAGCGAAACCCUUGUCGCUAGUUACCAGCGGGUCAUGCCGGGGACUCUAGCGAGACUGCCGGCGUUAAGCCGGAGGAAGGUGGGGACGACGUCAAGUCAUCAUGGCCUUUAUGCCCAGGGUUUCACACGUGCUACAAUGGGGUGUACAGAGCGACGCAAAGCCGCGAGGUGGAGCAAAUCGCACAAAACAUCCCCCAGUUCGGAUUGGGGUCUGCAACCCGACCCCAUGAAGUCGGAAUCGCUAGUAAUCGCGUAUCAGCCAUGACGCGGUGAAUGUGUUCCUGAGCCUUGUACACACCGCCCGUCAAGUCAUGGAAGCUGGGAGUUCCCGAAGUCGCCGCAUCUCUGCGGUGCCGACGGAAAGCCUGGUGACUGGGACUAAGUCGUAACAAGGUAACCA